rnacentral:rRNA from 1 species
UACGUAGGGUGCAAGCGUUGUCCGGAAUUAUUGGGCGUAAAGAGCUCGUAGGCGGUUUGUUGCGUCGGCUGUGAAAUCCCGAGGCUCAACCUCGGGUCUGUAGUCGAUACGAGCAAACUAGAGUGUUGCAGGGGAGACUGGAAUUCCUGGUGUAGCGGUGAAAUGCGCAGAUAUCAGGAGGAACACCGGUGGCGAAGGCGUCCCUCUGGCCGGAUACUGA